GCUUCGGUGGUGUUGUGGUAGAGCACGCAUCCCCAGUUAGGAUGAAACGAGAGUUCGAUUCCCGCCUUAUGCC